rnacentral:rRNA from 1 species
AUUGAACGCUGGCGGCAGGCCUAACACAUGCAAGUCGAGCGGCAGCGGAAAGUAGCUUGCUACUUUGCCGGCGAGCGGCGGACGGGUGAGUAAUGUCUGGGAAACUGCCUGAUGGAGGGGGAUAACUACUGGAAACGGUAGCUAAUACCGCAUAACGUCGCAAGACCAAAGAGGGGGACCUUCGGGCCCCUUGCCCCCAGCGGUGCGCAGAUGGGAUUAGCUAGUAGGUGGGGUAACGGCUCACCUAGGCGACGAUCCCUAGCUGGUCUGAGAGGAUGACCAGCCACACUGGAACUGAGACACGGUCCAGACUCCUACGGGAGGCAGCAGUGGGGAAUAUUGCACAAUGGGCGCAAGCCUGAUGCAGCCAUGCCGCGUGUAUGAAGAAGGCCUUCGGGUUGUAAAGUACUUUCAGCGGGGAGGAAGGUGUUGUGGUUAAUAACCACAGCAAUUGACGUUACCCGCAGAAGAAGCACCGGCUAACUCCGUGCCAGCCGCCGCCGUAA